rnacentral:rRNA from 1 species
GAUGAACGCUGGCGGCGUGCCUAAUACAUGCAAGUCGAGCGAACAGAUGAGGAGCUUGCUCCUCUGACGUUAGCGGCGGAAGGGUGAGUAACACGUGGAUAACCUACCUAUAAGACUGGGAUAACUUCGGGAAACCGGAGCUAAUACCGGAUAAUAUCUUGCACCGCAUGGUUCAAUAGUGAAAGACGGUUUUGCUGUCUCUUAUAGAUGCAUCCGGGCCGCAUUAGCUGGUUGGUAAGGUAACGGCUUACCACGGCAACGAUGCGUAGCCGACCUGAGAGAGGGAUCGGCGACACUGGAGCGGGGACAGGGACCAGGGGCCUGCGGGACGCAGCAGUAGGGAAUCGUCCGCAUGAGGGGGGAGCCUGGCGGAGUGGGGCGGCGUGUGAUGUGAAAGUCUUGGGAUCGUAAAGCUGUGUUAUGGGGGGAGAACAGAUGUGGAAUGAGCUGUAGACGGCUUGACGGUAACUGGUCAAGAAGCCACGGCUAACUACGUG